UAAUACGGAGGGUGCAAGCGUUAUCCGGAUUUACUGGGUUUAAAGGGUGCGUAGGUGGGCAGUUAAGUCAGUGGUGAAAUCUCCGGGCUUAACCCGGAAACUGCCAUUGAUACUAUCUGUCUUGAAUAUUCUGGAGGUAAGCGGAAUAUGUCAUGUAGCGGUGAAAUGCUUAGAUAUGACAUAGAACACCCAUUGCGAAGGCAGCUUACUACGGGAUUAUUGACACUGAGGCACGAAAGCGUGGGGAUCAAACAGGAUUAGAUACCCUGGUAGUCCACGCCCUAAACGAUGGAUACUCGACAUCAGCGAUACACUGUUGGUGUCUGAGCGAAAGCAUUAAGUAUCCCACCUGGGAAGUACGACCGCAAGGUUGAAACUCAAAUGAAUUGACGG
rnacentral:rRNA from 1 species